ensembl:lncRNA
GGAAAGUGGAGGGAGGGGGAAGUGAGGGGUUAAAUCCAGCCUGAGGAAACCUGAUGCUGAUGAACAGAGAGAGAGAGAGAGAGAGAGAGAGAGAGAGAGGGAGAGUGGGUUUGGGGUAGAGGGACAGACAGAGAGAUACAGCACCACUGGAGAGAUGAUGAGAGCACGCUGACAUUACGAACACCGAGCUGAAGAUCAGACAGCAGGUAGAUGAAUGAAUACAAGAUGACACCAGUGAGAAUCAUGCUGUUCCUGUGGGGUCUCCUGUGCAUGUGUGUGUCAGUGGGGAGUGUGUCGGAGCUGUGUAAAGGUUCUCGCUGCUUAGAGUUGGGGGAGUCCAGACCAUGUUCAGGGUCACAGUGUGGCUCGGGCAGACCAACACGUCAACACAACCCUUUAUCACGCAGCAGAUCUGCACCAACCCACCAACAUGCAGUCUCACACCUUCCUUCAGCAGACAUGCUGGAGUCACACACAGCUUCUCAUUCUCACACUAGGGAAAGGAUGCGGCUUGCCGAAGUCGCAGGUCACACGUGCUCUGGAGCGGAUUGCAUUACCACCAAAAGACCACCGCAGGCCAUUAAUGAUACACGAGAGUGCAGGGGGCUGGAGUGCAGACUGCCUUUGAGGAUCAGAACCAAGCCCAGAGUGAGGCCGUGCCCUCCAGACGGCUGCGGACCUGGCUCAGACGACGCUCCCGUGCACGUUCCGGACAGAGCUGCUCAGUUUCUGGGGGAAUUUCCGGAUAUCGGAUAUCCUUCGUCGGAACUUGGAGGUGCACCGCUGGGAGUGCAGCUUACAUGUGACAUCAAACCAGGAGAGAACGAGGUUCCCUCGGAAGAUGCCCUUGUCCUGCACCUGCAGCUCUCCAAAGGCCAGGAGAAGUUGGUGGAGGCACUGCGGGUGCAGCAGUUAGUGAUCCGCGACCUACAGCAGCGUCUGGAAGAGCAGCAGGGAGCGCUUCUGGCCCAGCAGCGUGAGAUCCUAGAGCAGCAGCGGCGCAUGUACGAGCAGAUGGACGUGGUGAAAGCGCAGUACGGCAUGCUGUCCGAGACCGUCAAGCAGGUGUCCUUUCAGGGCCUGCAGGGGGAGCUGCAGAGUUAUUUGGAAAGCCAGCUGGCCGGCGUGCAGAGCCAAGCUCGCAGCCACCUGCAGAAGUCGUAUGCCGUGCAUAAAACGGAUGCCAAGAUGAUAGACGUGACCGGGGACACGGAUCACGCUCUGCUCGGCUGUCGCAGCGCAUGUGGUCCUGAAGAGUACUGCAAUUUUCAAUUGCAGCCACCGCAGUGCCAACAGUGCACCAUGUGUCCACCUGGGUUCUUCCUGGUGUCUCAGUGUUCACCCAAUGCUGACAGGAUUUGCCAGGACAGAGAUGAAUGCCUGGAAAUCCCAACCGUGUGUGGAGAGAGAGUGAAAUGCCUCAAUACACCAGGUGGCUUCCGGUGCUUGGGCAUGUCCGAACGAGAGAUCUCUGCAGGCCUGUGUGGUCAUGAGUACUUCUACAAUCAGGAGCUACAGGAGUGCCAAGCAUGUUCAGACUGCGAUGGGGAGCCCAUAGCCGUUCCGUGUAGCACCGUGAGUGAUACAGUGUGUGGCGUGAUCUCAGAAAACACAUUCUCGCAGUCUUGGUCCGCCUCGGUCACUUUACCCCCAGCUCGAACAAAAAGCAGUGCCGUGUUCCCAGGUCUGCAGCUGAGCGUAAUGGGAAAGGAGGGGAGUGACCUUCUGGUCAGCCGUGAUGGUUCCAUCAGCCUCAAUCAGCACGGUCUGCUCUGGCUGGAUCACAACUUUGCCUUGAAGCACAGUUGCCGCAACUUUCUGCAGGUUGGUGUGAGGCUUAGUGGUGGCAGUGAGGAGGAAGGUCGCGACCUCAGUGGUGUACGGGUGGAGCAGCCAGAGAGGAAGCACUUCCAGGGUGUGAGUGUGAGUGCAGCAGCUGAGGUGGAGCCCAACCAGACUCUGUGGCUGCUUCUCAAGAGCCCAAACCAGCACUGCAACCAGAGCAAAGAACUGCAGCUUUAUGAGCUCGGAUCUUCAGCGUUCAGCCUGCUGUGGCUGUCACAUGACACCGGAGCCGUUUCAAUGACUGCUCAGACAUCUACGGCACCUCACUACCACGGUAACUAUCGGCCAUCCUUUCGUGUUGCUACUGUCUCUGACCCCUAUGUAGUGGCACUGACUCAUGAUAACCGCGGAAUUCGCUUCACUGAGCGAGGCGUUGUCAAGUUCGUCCUGCAGCAGGCACUUUAUGCCAUGGGCCACACGUGCGUCCGUGAAGGCUUCUCGCUAGUCGCCUACAUUAAUGGAAAUGGGACCAACCAGGAAGUAAUGCGCUCAUUUAAAUCCGGUGUCAACUAUCGGGACACCUCCAUCACCUUGUCUGCUACUACCAUCGUAGACUCGGGUGACUGGCUAAACUUUGAGAUUCUCACUCCGUCGCAGUGCAAUGUCCGAUACUUUGGAGACAGCUCUGGAAUUAGCAUGCUAAGUCUUCUCUGGAUUCCAGGUGCCAUUUCCUCAUCGCUAAUGGCCACCGUGUCCAGGACAGGCCUUCCAUCGGGAGCUGUGAGGAACAAACCUUUGUUGUUUCAGCAGCUUGGUCCGGAUGCCGAACACAUCCGGCUUGCUGGCGCGGGACACCAACACCCACAGAGGAAUUUUGUUUUCCAAGAAGCCGGGACAGCCAACGUGGCACUCACUGUAAAGCUGAUCCACUCAUGCAACGUGGUGAAGCUGGUGCUACAUCAGCAGGGCCAGGACAGGACGACUUCGGGUCCUGUGGCGCAGCAGGUUGGGGGUCAGAUGCCCGAGGGAAGCGAGUGGACCAGUGUUGGAGUCAGAGCGUCUUUCGAGGUCCAGAACGGCACAGCCAUUUACAUCACGCUGGACUGCAUACGCGGACGCAUCAAUCAAAUCACUCAUGACGAAGGUGCCAACAUUUCCAUCCUCUGGGUGGCUGCGUGACACCAGGAUUUCACUGCGUCUCAAUUCUUGCUCUUGUCAGAAACAGGGUCACGGGGGAACCUGGAGCCUAUCCCAGGGAGAAUCGGGCACGAGGCGGGGUACACCCUGGACAGGGUGCCAAUCCAUCGCAGGGCACACAUUCACACACUCAUUCAUACACUACGGACACUUUAGACACGCCAAUCAGCCUACCAUGCAUGUCUUUGGACUGGGG